UCCUAGCUUUUGGGUUAUAAUCGCCGCGUCCCCCAUCUCUCUCUGCCUACAUCGACGCAGAUGACGGUGCGAUCGCCGGUGUCCUUCCACAUCCUGCCAUGUCGCCAUCUCUUCCUCCGACACGGUUCUCCCCGGUCGCGCAUCCUUCAUCUCCUCAAGCCCUCGAAGCACUAUCUCCGAUCGAGGCUUCUCAUCGCCCGUGCUGCCUUUCCGGGAAGCUCUAGUUCGGGUUCCAACGGAGAUCUCUUGCAGUCAGCCUCCCCUGCUGCGGCCUCCUCCAUUGUUGAUUUCCUUACGCUCUGUCAUCGACUUAAGACUACAAAAAGAAAAGGAUGGAUCAACCAUGGUAUUAAUCAUCCAGAGUCCAUUGCUGAUCACAUGUAUCACAUGGCAUUAAUGUCAUUAAUCGCUGGUGACAUACCUGGUGUUGAUCGGGAGAGGUGCAUUAAGAUUGCCAUAAUUCAUGAUAUUGCGGAAGCUAUUGUUGGUGAUAUCACACCUUCAGAUGGUGUUCCUAAGGCGGAAAAGAGUAGACGUGAACAAGAAGCUUUGAAUGAAAUGUGCAAAAUCCUUGGCGGGGGAUUAAUGGCUGAUGAAAUUCAGGAACUUUGGCAGGAGUACGAGAAUAAUUCUUCUACUGAAGCUAGUCUUGUGAAGGAUUUUGACAAGGUAGAAAUGAUUCUUCAGGCUUUGGAAUAUGAAACAGAACACGGGAAGAUCUUGGACGAGUUCUUUAUUUCAACUGCAGGAAAAUUUCAGACUGAUGUUGGGAAGAGUUGGGCUGCCGAAGUGGUAUCAAGAAGAAACAAGAGAUUACGUAAUAAGCCUAACUAAAACAUGGAGAUCGAUGUGGGUUUAAAAUCAUUGUCAAAUAAUAAGAGUUCAAGCAGUUGCUGAACUGAACGAAAUGAAUCAGUUCCUAUACCAAGUCAAGGGAAGCAACUUCGAUGUAACUUCCUUGGGGCUUUCACUUGAAUCAGUUGAACGUGGACUGAAGCCUUAUUAAAUGUAAGGCCAAGAGAACGACGUUUGCAAAUGAUUUUCAAAGCAAAUCGAGGAUAAUUUGAAGUGUUUAGUUUGUCCUUUCGUUAGCUGAACAAAGUUGAAUGAUAAGUUGCUUGCAAGCGAUUAUCAGAAGUUACGUUUUUGGAUGAAAUAUGAUAUAUUUAUGCUUUGUUUAUCUGAAGAAGAACAAAAUAUGAAAAAAGAAAGAAAUAUAAUAGUUGGAG